rnacentral:rRNA from 1 species
AACGAACGCUGGCGGCAUGCCUAACACAUGCAAGUCGAACGAGACCUUCGGGUCUAGUGGCGCACGGGUGCGUAACGCGUGGGAACCUGCCCUUAGGUUCGGAAUAACUCCCCGAAAGGGGUGCUAAUCCCGGAUAAUGUCCUCGGACCAAAGAUUUAUCGCCUUUGGAUGGGCCCGCGUUGGAUUAGCUAGUUGGUAGGGUAAAAGCCUGCCAAGGCGACGAUCCAUAGCUGGUCUGAGAGGAUGAUCAGCCACACUGGGACUGAGACACGGCCCUGACUCCUACGGGAGGCAGCAGUGGGGAAUAUUGGACAAUGGGCGAAAGCCUGAUCCAGCAAGGCCGCGUGAGUGAUGAAGGCCUUAGGGUUGUAAAUCUCUUUUACCCGGGAUGAUAAUGACAGUACCGGGAGAAUAAGCUCCGGCUAACUCCGUG